AACUUGGUUUUACCACAGUACUUGAUCACGAAUUUCAAAUCACAGAACUCUUGCAUAAUAUUGUAAUUAUUAAAAAAACUACUAUUUUCCCAGAGAAGAAGUUAUAGUUCUUUAUAAUUUUUCUGUUUAAUGCGGUAGUUGCAAAAACUGGUAAACUUUUAUUUCGAUGUAAAGCAAACAGCUUUUCUUAAAAUUAUUAAACAUUACUUGUAGCUUAAGAUGAUUGUCUUUGCUAUUUUUGAAAAAUUUUGCAAAUUUCAUCUUGGCUAUACGUGCAGUUGUGCUCGAUAAAAGAUAGAAAAAAGUGGGGUAUCCCCGACCUAAAGCUAACACCACCUUAAGCAGUUUAAAUAAAAGCGCAAUUUUUAUGAAGGAUGAGGAUUCAACAUAUGCUCAACGUAAUUGUUAUAUAGGAACAUCCUAAGUUAAAAUAUUUCAAGUACGUGAGCUAAUAAAAAAGUGAAAAGAAAUGAUUUUUCGGUUUGUGCCACACUGGUUCAGUUUAAACUCAGCGAUUUAAGGUAGUAUUAAGUACUUUGAAAAAAAGUUUUAAAAUACCAGAUAUGAUUGGAUCUUGUGAUUGCUCAAUACUAACUUGACAUAGUGAUCUACGAAUUAUCUUUGAUAUUUAUUGCUUGUUUGAUCAUAAAGCCUGUUAGCGAUAAAAUAAUUACAACCCUCCCGCUCACUAUCCUUUUGUCUUUUCUAAGUUAAUAAAAAGUUUGAGAGAUGUUGAUGAAAAUAAUCUCUUAAAAACUUUGAGCGUCUUAAUUUGAUGUAAUUGAUUUCUACAGAGUGAAACAUUAAAAUUUUUUCCAGAAAGUGGAAUGCGGUUGUAAUGAGUUUAGAAGUUGCCUAAUGCACCCAGAAGAAAGCUCUAAAGAACGAAUUUUCAAAUACAUCAACUAAUAUUAUUUUAUGAAAAAGCAGGUACAUGAGCCGAAAGGUACUAGCGAAAUAGUUGAUCGUUUAAAAAAUUUUGAGGUUAAACAUAGAUGUAGCAUUGCAGUAUAUAAGUGAGAUGAUUUAUGUGU
rnacentral:lncRNA from 1 species